AGGCGGACUCGAAAUCCGUUAGCCGUUCUGCGGCACGUGGGUUCGAAUCCCACCCGCUCCGCCA
rnacentral:tRNA from 1 species